CAGUCGCCGCGGUAAUACGUAGGGUGCAAGCGUUAAUCGGAAUUACUGGGCGUAAAGCGUGCGCAGGCGGUUGUGUAAGACAGGUGUGAAAUCCCCGGGCUUAACCUGGGAAUUGCAUUUGUGACUGCACGACUAGAGUGUGUCAGAGGGGGGUGGAAUUCCACGUGUAGCAGUGAAAUGCGUAGAUAUGUGGAGGAACACCAAUGGCGAAGGCAGCCCCCUGGGAUAACACUGACGCUCAUGCACGAAAGCGUGGGGAGCAAACAGGAUUAGAUACCCCUGUAGUCCCUGUCUCUUAUAC
rnacentral:rRNA from 1 species